rnacentral:rRNA from 1 species
CAGUCGCCGCGGUAAUACGUAGGUGGCGAGCGUUGUCCGGAAUCAUUGGGCGUAAAGGGAGCGCAGGCGGGCAUGUAAGUCUUUCUUAAAAGUGCGGGGCUCAACCCCGUGAUGGGAUGGAAACUGUAUGCCUUGAGUGUAGGAGAGGAAAGCGGAAUUCCCAGUGUAGCGGUGAAAUGCGUAGAUAUUGGGAGGAACACCAGUGGCGAAGGCGGCUUUCUGGACUGCAACUGACGCUGAGGCUCGAAAGCCAGGGGAGCGAACGGGAUUAGAUACCCCCGUAGUCCCUGUCUCUUAUACA